CGGCGCUCGGCGCGGCGCGGGCCGGAGCGGCGGCGGCGACGGCUCUUCCUGCCUCCUCGCCCUCAGGAGUUGGUGGCUCUUUCUGACAGCUGAAAGCCGGCCGGGGGCCUCCGGGAGGACUCUCCAAGAGUGGGCAGAGACGUCUCAGCCCCCUGGUGGCCCGAGCGCACCCCCGCGCCCCGCGUCUUGGGGUCCAUCGCGUCCCUCGCCCCUCCUUUCUGCUUCUCCUCGCUCCUGCCUCUCUCGAUUUAUUUUUUUCAAAUGGUGUAGCCGCCAGAGGUGCGGUGCUAAAUUCUUGGAAGGGGCCCGGAUGUACUGAAGAUGCAUUACAAUCUUACUAAAGGAGGCAUUAGUGGAAAGGAGCAGUUUUUGGUGUUUGAUGCAAUAAUGGGAAUCAGGUAAUCAUCAGGAGGGAAGAAGAAAUACUGCGGAUCCACGGCUUCCCUGAAUUUUGCACGAGAGCAGCCGACCUCGGAGGAGGGAUUAAUCCAGACCCACUUGGGGGUGUUUUUACAUUUCUUCCUCUUUGUGGCUUCUUCUCCCUUUCAAACAAUUUUUGGUCAAUGGUCAAUGAAAAUACGAGGAUGUACAUUCCAGAGGAAAACCACCAAGGUUCCAACUAUGGGAGUCCACGCCCAGCUCAUGCCAACAUGAAUGCCAAUGCAGCUGCGGGGCUGGCCCCUGAGCACAUCCCCACCCCGGGGGCAGCCCUAUCCUGGCAAGCAGCCAUCGAUGCGGCCCGGCAGGCCAAGCUGAUGGGCAGUGCUGGGAAUGCGACCAUCUCCACUGUCAGCUCUACACAGCGGAAGCGGCAGCAGUAUGGGAAACCCAAGAAGCAGGGUGGCACGACCGCCACGCGGCCGCCCCGGGCCCUGCUCUGCCUGACUCUGAAGAACCCUAUCCGGAGAGCGUGCAUAAGCAUUGUCGAAUGGAAAUAUCCUUUGUGCUCUAGCCUGGACAGGGUGCUUCAGGGACCUGAACCUGAGGACUGAUCCUCUGAGGCUUCAUAGCCAGUGGAGUGUGUUGGUGUUCUGAGCCUACAAACUGGUUCUAAGAGCAUGGAUCUGCAUCCAUGAGGCCUGUAAAAAUGCAGAGUUCUGGGUCCUACCCUAGACCCAAUCUCUUGAAUCUCUGGGGACAGGACCCAGGAAUCUGCUUGUAUAACAAACUUCCCAGUUUUUCUUCCCCACUCCUUAUACACAGGUUGGGUAUCCCCAAUCCAAAACUUCUGAGGUCUGAAUUGCUCCAAAAUCUGAAACCUUUGAGAGCUGAUAUGAUGCCACAAGUGGAAAAUUCCACACCUCUCCUUUUGUGACAGGUUGUAGUCAAAACACAGUCACACAAAAUAUAUUGUAUAAAAUUACCUUCAGCUUGUGUUUAUAAGGUAGAUGUGAAACAAAUAAAUUUCGUGUUUAGAUUUGA
rnacentral:lncRNA from 1 species